rnacentral:rRNA from 1 species
UACGGAGGUGCGAGCGUUGUCCGGAAUCACUGGGCGUAAAGGGCGCGUAGGCGGCGCGGAUAGUCGGGCGGUGAAAGCCCGGAGCUCAACUCCGGGUCGGCCGUCGAUACUUCCGGGCUUGAGCACUGUAGAAGGCAGAUGGAAUUCCGGGUGUAGCGGUGGAAUGCGUAGAGAUCCGGAAGAACACCGGUGGCGAAGGCGGUCCUGCUGGG